rnacentral:rRNA from 1 species
CAGCAGCCGCGGGAAUACGAAGGGGGCUAGCGUUGUUCGGAUUUACUGGGCGUAAAGGGUGCGUAGGCGGAUUGUUAAGUCAGGGGUGAAAUCCCGAGGCUCAACCUCGGAACUGCCUUUGAUACUGGCGAUCUUGAGUCCGGGAGAGGUGAGUGGAACUGCGAGUGUAGAGGUGAAAUUCGUAGAUAUUCGGAAGAACACCAGUGGCGAAGGCGACUGACUGGACAAGUAUUGACGCUGAGGUGCGAAAGCGUGGGGAGCAAACAGGAUUAGAGACCCCCGUAGUCCCUGUCUCUUAUAC